CUCCCUCCGCCGCUCGCGCCGGCGCUUCCCCGACGAGCUUCACGUCCUCAGGAGGAGAGGAAGCUGGCGCUGCUCUUCCCGCGCCUCCCUCUGCCGCUGUCGCCUCUUCCUAUCCCGUGCCUCCCUCUGCCGCCGUCGCCUCUUCCUGUCCCGCGCCUCCCUCUGCCGCCGUCGCCUCUUCCUGUCCCGCGCCUCCCUCCGCCGCUCAUGCCGCCGCUUACCCUUUUCCUCUUCGGCUCUCAGAUCCGUUCGUCAGCGGGGAGCAGCCGCCCUUUUCCUCUCCGGCUCUCGGAUCCGUUCGUCACCGGGGAGCAGCCGCUGGAACGUCGGAUGUCCUCGGGACGGUCGAAGCUUUGGGUCCUCAAACUACAGCCCUCAUCUCUCCUUUGCGUCCAGCUAGCACGAGAUAGAGAGAUGGAUGCAGAAAAUGAGACUGGAGAAAGAGGAAGAAAAAUUUGUGCCGCCUCCGUCCCCGUCUACUUAGUAGACAAAUACGAGCGAUUCCGAGUAACUUGACCAGUGAUCUGACGUGGAUGGCAGCGGCUAUGCGUGCUCGCCUGCAGUAGUAGGUAUGUCCGUGUGUGGGUGGGUGUGUGCAGCAGCUCGGGAGGGACAAAGAGGAGGUCACCGGGAGACGAAGGCAGCUCAAAGGAGGACGAAUUCUUUGUUUUUUGAAUUAUACCAUGAGUACAAAUUGUUCUCCUCUCCAGAUUUUUCUCAUUUUCAUGAUUACUAAAAGGGAAAGUAGUGGCUACACCCAUGUUGGAUGCACCCACGCUGCACCCCCUUGUCUCCACCGUCCAUGCAUAUGUUCUUUUUUCGGGAUAUGGGCCAUGUGAGUAUUGUUGCCAGUAAUUAACAGAGGAGGAGUGUUGGGACAUGCGCUUUGUGAC